CGCAGGGGUGUGACCAGGGCACACUUUUCACUUGCCUGGUUAUUGACUCUUCAAAGAUGCUUCUGUACAACACUCACAGAGAUGCAGAGAAGCGUCUGUUGCCCAUGACAAAGAUGAUCUUCAUUAUCCCUACUUUUGGGGGGCCAAUAUGGGUGGAGCACCUCACCGCCUCUACCCCAUGAGCAAAGGGAUCUCUCACUAAAAGACCUCCCCAUCUUCCCAGCUUGGCUCCGACCCUCUGCUCAGUGAUCCCUGGCGUCCCCGGCCUGACACCCCCAGUCUGGACAUCUCUCUGUGGAGGGGAGGCCAGGGGCACCCUGACCACAGCUGCCCCGCGGGCAUGAUCCCUGCCUGGGCUGGGGCAGGAAAAGGGAGCUGGCCCAGCCUGGAAGAGUUUUAAAUUCCUCUGUUCAUUUUCCCCCUCUCCCUCCCUUAGGUUCCAAAUCCAAUUCUAGCUCCUGGCCAACUGGUAGAAUUAAAGGAUUAAGAGCUACCCAGGUCUUAUCCCGAUAUGAAAAGAUUUCACUGAGAGGCUCAUAGUUCAGCGUCCAAAGCCAGGGAAAUCGCUCCGCCUGCGGCUGGGUAUUGUUGGAAAGCCUCACUGGAACCACCUUUGAGCUCCUGGCUGGGGCAUCCUGUUGCACUUAUCUCUUAAGACCUCGCUCAUAAUUGCUCCCUGUCCGACAAGCACAGAGGACUCCAGGCUUUAUCUGUUAAGGGUUCUCUAAUCCAGUUCACGAGGAUGGUGGGAAUCAGGACACCUGGGAACCCUUCUAGAGUCAACGCAGAAUCUCACAGGAGCCCUGAGCCGAUCUCUGGAGAGCCCUGAGGACAAGCAGAGGGGCCAGGCCCCUGAAAGGAACCUGUGGGCUGGGGGCUGGGGCCAGAGCUGGUGGGGCUGGUCAGAGAGACCAACUGUGAAGGAAAAAGACUUUGCACAGCAAAGCAGAAGGGAUGUUUUAGUGCAUGCUGGGUGGGUGUAACCGCAUGUGUGUACACACGCAUGUGUGUAUACGGUGUGUGUGUGUGUGGACUUCUGCACAAAGGUCAGGGAGAGGGUCCAGGCCAGGCCCCCAGGGGCUCAGCUGGUCAGCCAGGUGGUGAGGGGCUCUGAAGCUGGUGGCACAGGGUGGCACAGCUGGCAGCCUCUGACAGGCGAGAGCGUGGCGGAGGUGUGGAUGAGUCAGAAGCUGCAUCUUUGCGGGCCCAUGGGAAGCUUCCUGACAAAUGCCGUUCAUCUUCAGGUUGGGGGGACAGCCAGUGUGCCACUCCAUAUGGGCACACCUCGACCUAUCAUCAGCCGACCGUCGCCCUUCGUGGGACCCCGGAGCGCUCCUCUGACUGAUGGAGGCUUUGUGGAGAGGUCACGGGGACUCUGCAGGUGCAAGCGCAGACUCCAGCAUCCCUCGGCACCUUGCAUGGCUUCAUCUGUCUACACUGACAGAACCUUCCCCAGCUAGACCACGGGGGCCGUGUUGCACUCCUAACACUUCUCCAACGUGAGCAAGCAAGAUGGUCUCGGGAGAGCUGGGCAAGCGGGGAGCUGGCGAGGGGAAGAUGCAGCGACGUGUUUAAUGCACUGUUUCCUGGGGACCUAGAAUGAAAAUUUUAACAGCUCAGAAGCUGUGCACCGAAGGCGCCUCUACUGCGGGUUCUCAGAAGGGUAUUCCAACUAAAUUGCAGAAAUAAAUAUGCAUCUUCCGUGUUUUUGAUGAGCUAUUGCUGCACAGAGCCUGAAUCCUUAAGCGGCAGCAGACUCCUCCAUGGGAAAAACAGCGGUCUUCAAGUGGCCUGGCUUUGGGGCUUGUCAGCUGUGUUUGCGCUUCGUGGCCAUAAGGCCAUCGCUUUCAUGGGACCCACUCAGAGCUGACCUGCUGUACCAAACUGGAGAACAACCCAGAAAUGGAAAGAAAAAGAGAACUGUAAAAAAAAUGCACAAAGACGCCCUGUAGAAAGAUAGGGUCCACAGCACGUCAUCACAGCAAAUCAGCCCACAAAGGGUCCACGCCCAAGCUAACUCUAGGGCACGGGCAAGUCCUUUCAGAGAAGGAGGGGAGGGAGCGGGCUCUGCAAUGCCCAGGCAGCGGCAGGAAAGGCUCGGCCGGCCAGACCGUCUCUCUGUCUCUCCCUGCCCACCCCCUGGGAACCCAGGCCUGUGGGCUCUGACGUGGGGGAACCACUCAGCCCCAUUUCACACCUAAGUGGGACACACCCAAGGCCCUUGGCGACUGCCACACUUAUUCCACCGUCCUCCUCAGGUUUGACCUUGCUGCAGACACGUGCAGAAGCACUGCCAGGCCAGUGCCACGGUGGGCCCAUGAGGGGCGGACCUGCGCACAAACGAAAGAGAACCCGACACACACCUCCAGACCUGCCAGCGGGAAAACAUUCCAAGAUCAACACAUUUCAACUCACUAAUUAAUACAGCCAAAAGGCAUUUUUCAUAUUAGACUUAUUAAAAUCACUUGUAUUUAAGUGUUUUUGAACUCAUAUUUUCCGAUGCUGUGCGUUUUUCUAAAGUGUUCUAGUCAUGUUAUGCAAAUGCCUAUUUAAAUUACCAGGGGUAUUUGUUUUCUAUUUCUACUCUGUAAAACAUAAUUUUAAUACAAGUUAUUUGUGAAAUGCACAUUGGAAAAAAGAAAAUAAGAUUUGAGAUGGCAUUUCUAUGAUAAUUUUAUUGCAAAUGUUGACCAUGUUUUUGUAUUUGUCUGCAAAAGGUAAUGCGGAAUAUACAUAAGACAUAUUUCUGGGAUUUAUUGUCAUAUGUGACUAAAUUAGUAAAGGAAAAUUUGCUCCAUUUUUUUUGAACCCGAGGAGGGCAGUCCUUCACCCCGGGAAGCGUGUUUUAGAGGGAACAGGCACGGCCGCGAGAGGGCUGAGCCCCAUGCCAUCACAGAGAAGACUCGCUCUCACUCUGCACUUCUCCCAGGUUUUCUGACACCUGCGUGCUGCCAGACACAGCAUCUGAGGCAGAAGCACAGGCCCUGCUGGGAGAGGGGUGCUCAGCUCGUGGAGGACACGACCGUUGAGUGGAGGACAGGGGUGGGGUUCUCUCGAGUGCCAAAGUGGUGAAUGUAGGGGCCAGACUCCACGGCAGGGGAGAGCCUUGGAGAGGGUGCUGAGGAGGUCUUCCUUUGUAGAGUUAUCUAAAACCUGUAGUCUUCCUCCUGCCAGCAUCUGUUUGAUACAUGUGUGAUACAGGCAUAGUAAGAUCACUAGAGGCAAAAGAUGAAGUCAAGAGGGAAUCCUGAAUUCAGGAUUAAGUAUUAAUGCUACUUCUGAGCUUCCCGGCAGCCAAGGCAAAAAAGGGAAACAAUGAGUUCAAUGCCUUUCAUUGUCCAGUGAAGAAUAUCUGUCUCUUUGGAGGAGAGCCAGUUUCCUUCUGUCUUCCAGGUUCAGUAGAUCCACAGAGAGCCUCUCAUAAGGGAAAGCAGGGACAGGGUAGGCUCUGUCCCCACUGGUGAAUUUACAGAGGGUGCAGAAAUGCCGUUAUGAGGGUGGUUGGAUUAAAACAAAAGGUAUGAUGGUCAAUCAUAGUUUUUAAAGAUGUCUCUGUGCUGGUGUGGGGGCGCCUGUAACAGAAUGAGACUCCAUCCUCAACACCCGCAGCCCCAUCCUCCAGGCAGUCAUUGCUCACUCUUACAUGUGUCAACGAGGACCAACAGUGAGAUUUUCCCAGGCUCCCCUGAGCCAGGGGGGAAGGAGGCUGCCCAUCCCAGAGCUGGCUGGGGGAGUGCUGCAGGGCUCCCCACAUGAGCCAGGGCGACUGCCUGCUCGUCAUUUGUCCCAUUAGGUGCCAGCUAUUGGGGUUUCAAAAGGCAGGGCUUGGAAACAAAAACUCUCACCUGCGGUAACCCGCCCGUCACCUGGGCACCCCCGCUUUGACGUCUGUGGAGAGGGACUCUGGUUUGCCCUGUGUCUCCCGAGCACCCGCAGCGGGCUCUUGAGCCAAUGGACUCAACGCAGGUUUCCUGAAGAGCACUGACCGUGGGUGUCAUCUGGGCCAGUGGGUCGAGUGCAAGGUCAGCUUGGAUUCAAAUGGAAGCUGUGUGACGCUGGGCCAGGGCUCCACGGCCCGAGUCUGUCUCCUCAUCCGAAAACAUGGCCGUGACAAAACCAGUCCUGCGGAGAGGCUGUAGAGACAAGAAGGAUGUGUGCCAAGUGCCACUUCGUAUCUGGUGCUGAGGCCCCAAGAGACCAUGAUGUCCAGAUGACAGUGAGAGUGGGCGUUUGGGUGACACUUAACGUAUAAAGUGCUCAGUGUACAUGAUCUCCUGAAAUCCUCACGGUGAUCCUGUGAGGUUAAAUGUAACUUAUCAUCUCCACUUCACAGAGGCAGAAUUGGCUCAGAGAGUUUCAAUGACUUGCCCAGUGAUGCACAGCACGUCAAGGGUAGUGCUGGGACGAGGCCCACCCAGGUCUUCUGAGUCUCCUUGAGCAGUCUCUUUAUCCUAUCCCUUUGCCCCCGGGAGCUGGGUGGCCCCUUCGGGCUGGGCCCACCAUCUUCACCUAGGAGGGUCUGGGAGAGACAACGUGGGCUCAGCCAGGCCCCAGCCACAGGCUGAGAGGUCACUUUCCGUCUUCCCCGAGGCUUCCCUUCCGCUUGGGCCAGCUGGAGCUGGGGUCAUCAGGUGAGGCCCUGGAGGAGCGAGGGGCCCUGGCUGUGUGUCCCUCC